GAGCACCAAACGAAAAUCAAGUUCAGCGCCUGCCUUACAAGCAGGGGGUCACAGGUUCAAGUCCUGUAGCGCCCACUA
rnacentral:tRNA from 1 species